rnacentral:tRNA from 1 species
AGGGGCAUAGCUCAACUGGUAGAGCGUCGGUCUCCAAAACCGAAGGCUGCGGGUUCGAUCCCUGCUGCCCCUGCCA